GACGAACGCUGGCGGCGUGCCUAAUACAUGCAAGUCGAGCGGACGAAUCGAAAGCUUGCUUUUGAUUCGUUAGCGGCGGACGGGUGAGUAACACGUGGGCAACCUGCCCUGUAGACGGGGAUAACACCGAGAAAUCGGUGCUAAUACCGGAUAACACGAAAUGUCGCAUGACGUUUCGUUGAAAGACGGCGCAAGCUGUCGCUACAGGAUGGGCCCGCGGCGCAUUAGCUAGUUGGUGAGGUAACGGCUCACCAAGGCGACGAUGCGUAGCCGACCUGAGAGGGUGAUCGGCAACACUGGGACUGAGACACGGCCCAGACUCCUACGGGAGGCAGCAGUAAGGAAUCUUCCGCAAUGGACGAAAGUCUGACGGAGCAACGCCGCGUGAGCGAAGAAGGCCUUCGGGUCGUAAAGCUCUGUUGUUAGGGAAGAACAAGUAACGCAGUAACUGGCGUUACCGUGACGGUACCUAACGAGAAAGCCACGGCUAACUACGUG
rnacentral:rRNA from 1 species